AUGGUGGAUUUUGUAUCACUGUGGUGCACCUUUGGUGGAGGAACCGGACUGGAUGUUGGAAGUGAUGUCCGUCCCACCCUGACGGUGCUGCCCCCCUCCAGUGAGGAGCUGCAGCAGGGGAAGGCCACGCUCAUGUGCCUGGCCAACAAGGGCUUCCCCUCAGACUGGAGUCUGGCCUGGAAGGUGGACGGCAGCAGCAGCAGCAGCAGCAGCUGGGAGGAGAGCAGGAGCCCCGGGGUGCUGGAGAAGGACGGCCGCUACAGCUGGAGCAGCACCCUGAGGCUCCCUGCAGACCAGUGGAGGAAGGUGGGCUCUGUGACCUGUGAGGCCACCCAGGGCUCCCAGGCUCUGGUCUCAGAGACACUGAGGAGAGACCAGUGUUCCCAGUCCUGA